AAUUGGGAAACGCUGCUUUAGAGGAAUAUGUAAAAACACUUAAUUAGCCUCCUAUUCUCAAAUGUUCUUGACCACCGUGAAAUUGUUUUUGUCCCAUUCACUUGACUAAAAAUUUGUCUAGUGAAGCCUUGCAAUGACCUGAUCAUGCAAUAUGUACUCAUCCCUGCACAGUUUUCCAAAGGUCUCUGCUUCUCCCCCCACCUAUCUUCCAGUGUCUAUAGGUUUACUGAAAAUACCAUUCCUUGG